rfam:Xylanimonas cellulosilytica DSM 15894, complete genome.
CCCGGUCCUCGGUAGUGGCCUCCCGAACGCGUCCGCCCCCGGCGGGCCGCCGUCGGUGGGCCUCGAUCGAAGACCGCC